GUGUAAGAGCCAGUGGAGGACCGAACCGAUAGGCGUUGAAAAGUCACCGGAUGACUUGUGGAUAGGGGUGAAAGGCCAAUCAAGCUGCGUGAUAGCUGGUUCUCUCCGAAAUAUAUUUAGGUAUAGCCUUGUGUUGUGGCAUAUAGGGGGAGAGCACUGAAUGGGCUAGGGCUGCUUACCGCGGUACCAAACCCUAUCAAACUAUGAAUACUAUAUGUGGAAUCACAGGAGUCAGGCGAUGGGUGAUAAAAUCUACCGUCGAGAGGGGAACAACGCAGACUAACAGUUAAUGUCCCUACGUGACAUCUAAGUAGAAAACGUCGUGGAGUUACUGUGACAACCAUGUGGUUGGCUUAGCAUCAGCCCUCCGUUCUAGACAGCGUCACAGAUUAAUGGCAUAGUGUUUCAGCGCGAUAACGU
rnacentral:rRNA from 1 species